UAUGGGAUACAAAGACUUUUUCAUUUUGCAUUUUGCUUCUACAUAUCUAAAGAAAAGUGGUGAUAUUUGGAUUAAGUUGAAGAAAAACAUAUUAUAACUCGAGGCUAUUGUCUAAACUCGUCGAGUUUCUGGACUACCUCGAGUAACAAACAAAUUUUCUGCAACAAGAUUUUCAGAAUAUAUCUCAAACUGAUUUGAUUUGCCAAGAUUUUGACAAAUCAAAUAAGGAAAAGUGAAAAACAAAUUUAGUAGGAGGGAAACAAUAUUAUAAUAGGAGGGAAACAAAAAAAGAGAGGGAAACGAAAAUAAUUAUGUCCUUAUUUAAUUUUUUAAUUAAUGAAAGUUUUCUCUAAAAGGAAAACUCUUUAGCAUUAACCAUAAUUGCCAGAAUCACGUUGUUGAAUGAAAAAAUAAAGUUGUUUCUUCUUUCUUAUCAAAAUAUCAUAGAAAGAAUUACAAAAAAUUCUCACCAUAUUUGUUAUUCAAUUCAAUUCUUUUCAACGAUCUUCUCAACAAUGUUACCUAGUACUAGAAAAAGAGUUAUAUCGAUGAAAAAGAUAGCACAACUCAAGGACUAGUGGCUGCUGAAGUUAAUAUGGUUGCUGAAACUAAAAGCAUGUCCUUUGAACCAACAAAUGUUGAUGAAGAUGGGAAUUGUUGGAAUGAAAGAAGAUGAACGUCUCCUAUAUCAAAAGUUAGGCUUAAUUUAGUUUCUUUUCUUUAUAGCAAAUAGUUUAUAUGUUUGCAUACAAUCGGUUAUUUUAGUAUUAUUAAAGACUUAUUCAUUGAUAAUUUUAUGUAAUAUUUGAAUUGAUUUUGUUUUUUAUUCAUUGAUUUUAGCAACAAA